GGAUAACACUUGGAAACAGGUGCUAAUACCGCAUAACCAUAGUUACCGCAUGGUAACUAUGUAAAAGGUGGCUAUGCUACCGCUUUUGGAUGGGCCCGCGGCGCAUUAGCUAGUUGGUGGGGUAAAGGCUUACCAAGGCAAUGAUGCGUAGCCGAACUGAGAGGUUGAUCGGCCACAUUGGGACUGAGACACGGCCCAAACUCCUACGGGAGGCAGCAGUAGGGAAUCUUCCACAAUGGGCGAAAGCCUGAUGGAGCAACGCCGCGUGGGUGAAGAAGGUCUUCGGAUCGUAAAACCCUGUUGUUAGAGAAGAAAGUGCGUGAGAGUAACUGUUCACGUUUCGACGGUAUCUAACCAGAAAGCCACGGCUAACUACGUGCCAGCAGCCGCGGUAAUACGUAGGUGGCAAGCGUUAUCCGGAUUUAUUGGGCGUAAAGGGAACGCAGGCGGUCUUUUAAGUCUGAUGUGAAAGCCUUCGGCUUAACCGGAGUAGUGCAUUGGAAACUGGGAGACUUGAGUGCAGAAGAGGAGAGUGGAACUCCAUGUGUAGCGGUGAAAUGCGUAGAUAUAUGGAAGAACACCAGUGGCGAAAGCGGCUCUCUGGUCUGUAACUGACGCUGAGGUUCGAAAGCGUGGGUAGCAAACAGGAUUAGAUACCCUGGUAGUCCACGCCGUAAACGAUGAAUGCUAAGUGUUGGAGGGUUUCCGCCCUUCAGU
rnacentral:rRNA from 1 species